GCAGGUAUAGCUCAAGUGGUAGAGUGCAUGCUUAGCAUGCACAAGGCCCUGGGUUCAAUCCCCAGCAUCUCCU
rnacentral:tRNA from 1 species